rnacentral:rRNA from 1 species
UACGUAGGGUGCGAGCGUUGUCCGGAAUUACUGGGCGUAAAGAGUGCGUAGGCGGUUGUUUAAGUUUGGUGUGAAAUCUCCCGGCUCAACUGGGAGGGUGCGCCGAAAACUGGACAGCUCGAGGAUGGGAGAGGCAUGCGGAAUUCCUGGUGUAGCGGUGAAAUGCGUAGAUAUCGGGAGGAACACCAGUGGCGAAGGCGGCUCACUGGAUCGGUACUGACGCUGAGGUGCGAAAGCGUGGGGAGCAAACAGG